AAAAGACGAGGGUCUAUUCAACCACCACUAGUCGUGUGUCCGCCGAAGGGAACUCUUAUUUAGGCCAACCGAAACACAAGCACGGGAGGCCAUUAUCCGCCCCCAACACCAUGCCAACCCGUUGGGGAGGUAUGGUGGGGAGCGACGCGAUGCGUGACGCCCAGGCAGGCGUGCCCUCGGCCUAAUGGCUUCGGGCGCAACUUGCGUUCAAAGACUCGAUGGUUCACGGGAUUCUGCAAUUCACACCAAGUAUCGCAUUUCGCUGCGUUCUUCAUCGAUGCUGUCGGAUUCUAAG
rnacentral:misc_RNA from 1 species